UACGUAGGGUGCGAGCGUUAAUCGGAAUUACUGGGCGUAAAGCGUGCGCAGGCGGCUUUGCAAGACAGAGGUGAAAUCCCCGGGCUCAACCUGGGAACUGCCUUUGUGACUGCAAGGCUAGAGUACGGCAGAGGGGGAUGGAAUUCCGCGUGUAGCAGUGAAAUGCGUAGAUAUGCGGAGGAACACCAAUGGCGAAGGCAGUCCCCUGGGCCUUUACUGACGCUCAUGCACGAAAGCGUGGGGAGCAAACAGG
rnacentral:rRNA from 1 species